rnacentral:lncRNA from 1 species
CAAACCGCAGCUUUAAUCAGAGCCUGCCUGAUGAAACCUGUUUACACGCUUGCCAUUGUUCAUGAGCCACGUUCAUUAGGCAAGCAGCGUUAAUGACGAUCCCAAGGCAGGAACUUUAAUCAGAGGGGAGGGCGAGGGACAGCCUUCCCUGGUGCUGUUCCAAUGAGUGCUCCCAGCAGCCCCCAGCCCCCAGCAGCACGGAACACUGCCAAGUGUGGAGCAUAACUCGUUCAAGAAGGGGGAAAUGAGAGGCAAAGUAAUAAUCAAAAUGCUCCAAAGGAGAAGACCAGAGGCUUUCAUCAAGGAUGAGAAUAAAGCUGCGCCCUGGAAACUUGGAAGGCAGCAAACCUAAAGCUGGCAAAACAUGCCUUCACCAGUCAGACAGCUCCUUUGUGCUGUGCUGGUUUUUUACAUGGGCAGAUAGUGAUGGACAAGGGGGAAUGGCUUUAAACUAGAAGACGGGAGAUUCGGGUCAGGUAUUAGGAGGAAAUCCUUUACUCGGAUGCAGUGAGGAGCUGCCCACAGCUGUGGGUGCUCCAUUGCUGGAGGUGCCCAAGGCCACGGACAGGGCUCUGGGUGACCUGCUCACCCCCUCCAUGGCAGCAGGUUGGAACUGGGUGUGCUUUGGGGUCCCUUGCAACCCAGCCAUUCUAUGGUUCUACGCUACUGUGAUUCUACGAUUCCAUGUUUCUGUGAAUAAACAGGCUCCUGGGGUUGCACGGUGGUGGUGGGCUGAGCCCAGAGCUGCACGCGUUGGAGGUCCCAGGGUCCCACCAGGGCUCAGCCCGCGGUGUCAAACGCUUCCCUCUAAUAAGCAAGCUCUGUCAGGAACUCAAUGAAGUGAAACCCAAAGUUGCAAUGCCAGAACCAGACCCAACGAAGAAUCCCUUCCUCGUGCCCAUGGUUGUGGCAGGCAGGCGGUUGCAUCCUCGAGGAGGAAUUCCCAUCAUAAAUGGGAGAAGAGAUGGAGCCAUGGCUGUGCCCCCACCCCAACCCAGGGGCACCCAGCAAAGCCCCACAAAGGGAGAACAGCAGCGCACAAGCAAAAAUGGCGCACGUCAUGCAUAUGC